rnacentral:rRNA from 1 species
AGACCCGAAACCCGGUGAUCUAGCCAUGGGCAGGUUGAAGGUUGGGUAACACUAACUGGAGGACCGAACCGACUAAUGUUGAAAAAUUAGCGGAUGACCUGUGGCUGGGGGUGAAAGGCCAAUCAAACCGGGAGAUAGCUGGUUCUCCCCGAAAGCUAUUUAGGUAGCGCCUCGUGAAUUCAUCUCCGGGGGUAGAGCACUGUUUCGGCUAGGGGGCCAUCCCGGCUUACCAACCCGAUGCAAACUGCGAAUACCGGAGAAUGUUAUCACGGGAGACACACGGCGGGUGCUAACGUCCGUCGUGAAGAGGGAAACAACCCAGACCGCCAGCUAAGGUCCCAAAGUCAUGGUUAAGUGGGAAACGAUGUGGGAAGGCCCAGACAGCCAGGAUGUUGGCUUAGAAGCAGCCAUCAUUUAAAGAAAGCGUAAUAGCUCACUGGUCGAGUCGGCCUGCGCGGAAGAUGUAACGGGGCUAAACCAUGCACCGAAGCUGCGGCAGCGACGCUUAUGCGUUGUUGGGUAGGGGAGCGUUCUGUAAGCCUGUGAAGGUGGCCUGUGAGGGUUGCUGGAGGUAUCAGAAGUGCGAAUGCUGACAUAAGUAACGAUAAAGCGGGUGAAAAGCCCGCUCGCCGGAAGACCAAGGGUUCCUGUCCAACGUUAAUCGGGGCAGGGUGAGUCGACCCCUAAGGCGAGGCCGAAAGGCGUAGUCGAUGGGAAACGGGUUAAUAUUCCCGUACUUGGUGUUACUGCGAAGGGGGGACGGAGAAGGCUAUGUUGGCCGGGCGACGGUUGUCCCGGUUUAAGCGUGUAGGUGUGUGUUCCAGGUAAAUCCGGUUCACUUUAACACUGAGGCGUGAUGACGAGGCACUACGGUGCUGAAGUAACAAAUGCCCUGCUUCCAGGAAAAGCCUCUAAGCAUCAGGUAACAUCAAAUCGUACCCCAAACCGACACAGGUGGUCAGGUAGAGAAUACCAAGGCGCUUGAGAGAACUCGGGUGAAGGAACUAGGCAAAAUGGUGCCGUAACUUCGGGAGAAGGCACGCUGACACGUAGGUGAAGUGAUUUACUCACGGAGCUGAAGUCAGUCGAAGAUACCAGCUGGCUGCAACUGUUUAUUAAAAACACAGCACUGUGCAAACACGAAAGUGGACGUAUACGGUGUGACGCCUGCCCGGUGCCGGAAGGUUAAUUGAUGGGGUCAGCGCAAGCGAAGCUCCUGAUCGAAGCCCCGGUAAACGGCGGCCGUAACUAUAACGGUCCUAAGGUAGCGAAAUUCCUUGUCGGGUAAGUUCCGACCUGCACGAAUGGCGUAAUGAUGGCCAGGCUGUCUCCACCCGAGACUCAGUGAAAUUGAACUCGCUGUGAAGAUGCAGUGUACCCGCGGCAAGACGGAAAGACCCCGUGAACCUUUACUAUAGCUUGACACUGAACAUUGAGCCUUGAUGUGUAGGAUAGGUGGGAGGCUUUGAAGUGUGGACGCCAGUCUGCAUGGAGCCGACCUUGAAAUACCACCCUUUAAUGUUUGAUGUUCUAACGUGGACCCGUUA